AGCUUUGCGCAGUGGCAGUAUCGUAGCCAAUGAGGUUUAUCCGAGGCGUGAUUAUUGCUAAUAGAAUGUUACUGGAAUGUUAUGUACUGGAAGAAGUUUCUAUUAUUGCUAAUAGAAUGUUACUAGAAUGUUAUG